rnacentral:rRNA from 1 species
GCAAGGGGAGCGGCAGACGGGAGAGUAACACGUGGGAACGUACCCUUUGGUUCGGAACAACCCAGGGAAACUUGGGCUAAUACCGGAUAAGCCCUUACGGGGAAAGAUUUAUCGCCGAAGGAUCGGCCCGCGUCUGAUUAGCUAGUUGGUGGGGUAAUGGCCCACCAAGGCUACGAUCAGUAGCUGGUCUGAGAGGAUGAUCAGCCUCACUGGGACUGAGACACGGCCCAGACUCCUACGGGAGGCAGCAGUGGGGAAUAUUGGACAAUGGGCGCAAGCCUGAUCCAGCCAUGCCGCGUGGGUGAUGAAGGCCCUAGGG